UUAAAGUUGUUGCAGUUAAAAAGCUCGUAGUUGAACUUCAGGUCUGGUGGGCCGGUCCGCCUCACGGUGUGUACUGGUCGACUGGACCUUACCUCUUGGUGAGCCGUCAUGCCGUUUAUUCGGUGUGGCGGGGAACCAGGACUUUUACUUUGAAAAAAUUAGAGUGUUCAAAGCAGGCCUAUGCCCGAAUACAUUAGCAUGGAAUAAUAGAAUAGGACGUGUGGUUCUAUUUUGUUGGUUUCUAGGACCGCCGUAAUGAUUAAUAGGGAUAGUUGGGGGCAUUAGUAUUCAGUCGCUAGAGGUGAAAUUCUUGGAUUGACUGAAGACUAACUACUGCGAAAGCAUUUGCCAAGGAUGUUUUCAUUAAUCAGGAACGAAAGUUAGGGGAUCGAAGACGAUCAGAUACCGUCGUAGUCUUAACCAUAAACUAUGCCGACUAGGGAUCGGGCGAUGUUCUUCUUUUGACUCGCUCGGCACCUUACGAGAAAUCA
rnacentral:rRNA from 1 species